rnacentral:rRNA from 1 species
GAUGAACGCUGGCGGCGUGCCUAAUACAUGCAAGUCGAGCGAACAGACGAGGAGCUUGCUCCUCUAACGUUAGCGGCGGACGGGUGAGUAACACGUGGAUAACCUACCUAUAAGACUGGGAUAACUUCGGGAAACCGGAGCUAAUACCGGAUAAUAUAUUGAACCGCAUGGUUCAAUAGUGAAAGACGGUUUUGCUGUCACUUAUAGAUGGAUCCGCGCCGCAUUAGCUAGUUGGUAAGGUAACGGCUUACCAAGGCAACGAUGCGUAGCCGACCUGAGAGGGUGAUCGGCCACACUGGAACUGAGACACGGUCCAGACUCCUACGGGAGGCAGCAGUAGGGAAUCUUCCGCAAUGGGCGAAAGCUUGACGGAGCAACGCCGCGUGAGUGAUGAAGGUCUUCGGAUCGUAAAACUCUGUUAUUAGGGAAGAACAAAUGUGUAAGUAACUAUGCACGUCUUGACGGUACCUAAUCAGAAAGCCACGGCUAACUACGU